UACGUAGGGUGCGAGCGUUAAUCGGAAUUACUGGGCGUAAAGCGUGCGUAGGCGGUUCGUUAAGUUCGUUGUGAAAGUCCCGGGCUCAACCUGGGAAUGGCAAUGGAAACUGGCGGGCUGGAGUAUGGCAGACGGGGGUGGAAUUCCGCGUGUAGCAGUGAAAUGCGUAGAGAUGCGGAGGAACACCGAUGGCGAAGGCAGCCCCCUGGGCCAAUACUGACGCUCAGGCACGAAAGCAUGGGGAGCAAAAGGG
rnacentral:rRNA from 1 species